rnacentral:lncRNA from 1 species
GUCCUCAUUGAGUCAUCCCUCCCAGAGCAGGAAGAGCAGAGGUUCUGGGAAACAACCCCAAGGAGAGAGACAGGGCAUUUAUAAAACAGCAUGUAAGCAUCUCUGCAGUUGCUGUCCCCAGAGCCCACUUCCUGGAUAUUGCCAGCUGCCUGGACCAACCUUUCCGAAAGAUCAGCCAGGUCACAGUGAGGGUCAAAGGUGAGGCAACACCCGGCCUGCUUCAGCUUGCCCCCCGUGGGCUGCACCCACUGUCCAACCAGUCCCAAUGAGAUGAACCAGGUACCAGCGAAGAGGGCAAGAACACAGCACUACUUCCUUGGAUACUGUUUCCCUCCUCAGAGGGGUUUUCUGAGCUGCCCUGGGUCCUGUGAGGAAGAUCUCCCCUUCCUGUAAAGACACCAGUCCUACUGGAUCAGGGCCCACCCGUGUGACUUCACUUUUACUUGAGUACCUCUCACAGACCCUAACUCCAAAUCAGGUCACUUGCUGAGGUACUGCAUGUGAAGACUUUGACAUUUGAAUUUUGAGGGGGCCACCGUUUAACCUGAACCACCAAGGACAGAGCCAAAGACCCUGGGUGACAGGCCCAGAACAGGACCUGGUGGAGGCUCUUCUUUAGGGGAGAGAGGGAAAUGGGAGCCACCACUGGCAGAGCCUGAAGGCAGGGCAGCCAGAAAGAAGCUGUGGGAGUCCCCACCAUGGAAGACCCUGCCGAGCAUCCUGUGUCUCCUGAAGCAGACCCUGACAUGAGGACUGGGGGCACGUGUUUAUUAAGGGCGAUCCCCGGAAGGAGGAGAUAACCAGGCAGAAGUCCUAGCAGAGUAUGCCCACGCUGGUUAGUGCUGCUGCAAAGAUGAGCCGAAGACCAUGAGAGACCUCCAGGUGGUCCUUCUGGGGAGAAGAAAUGGGUUUUGGCCCCAAAUCCUUCUGCUGCAUUUUUCCCCUAUCCCUGGGAAGCCAUGAGACCUCAAACCUGUGUUCCCAAGGAGGCGAGCUGCUGUUCCCAGGUGAUGAUAUGAUGUGCUUGGGGAAAGUAAGUGGCUGCCAGACAUGGCUGAGAGCUGUUGUCACUGCCGUCAAGUGCAUGUCUCCAAGCCAUAUCACACGGCGUCCCUCGAUGUGAGGCCACAUGGCAAGUGGGCCGUGGAUCUCCCUCUGCCCUUUGCAAGCACGUAAGACAGCAGAUUUUGCAGAUACCUUGUGGCGCAGGGGAAUUUCCUUUGGCCAGGUCUGAAGAAAUAAAGCAGCAGGCACCGAGAACAAAGCCAAGGCUUUCAAAAGACAAGGAGCCAAAAAACUUACUCAAAAUAAAAGUAGUUUUAAAAUG